AAUAUGUGAAAGGUAAUUCUCUUUAUCUAUUAUGACUUUGGAUCUCCAUGACAUUACAUGUUCUGUGCAGAAGAAUAUAUCAGAGAUUUACAUGAAAUUGUUAAAUAGUGACAUCAAUGUGUUAUUCAACCAAUAUGAUUAAAUCUGAUGAAAAAUGAUAUUGAUCAGCAGAUGCGUCCUCCAUAAACAAAAUUGACCAUGUGAAUUGAGCAA
rnacentral:misc_RNA from 1 species